AUUGCUUCUCGGCCUUUUGGCUAAGAUCGGUGUGGUAUCUGUUCUUAUCCGUUUAAAAUAUAUUUUCCUAUACUGACUUUAUAAUCACCGUAC
rnacentral:snRNA from 1 species